rnacentral:rRNA from 1 species
UAAGCCAUGCAAGCGGAGGGCGCGGUCUCUGACCGUGGCCCCGCGCAAGGCUCAGUAACACGUGGUCAACCUGCCCUCGGGCCGGGGAUAACCUCGGGAAACUGAGGAUAAUACCCGAUAGGUGAGGGAGGCUGGAAGGCGCCCUCGCCGAAAGCCACGGCGCCCGAGGAUGGGACUGCGGCCUAUCAGGUAGUUGGUGGUGUAACGGACCACCAAGCAUACGACGGGUACGGGCGAUGGGAGUCGGAGCCCGGAGAUGGGGACUGAAACAAGGCCCCAGGCCCUACGGGGUGCAGCAGGCGCGAAAACUCCGCAAUGCGCGAAAGCGUGACGGGGGAACCCCAAGUGCCGCUGGUCUCACGAUCGGCGGCUUUUCCGGAGUGCAAGGAGCUCCGGGAAUAAGGGCUGGGCAAGGCUGGUGCCAGCCGCCGCGGUAAUACCAGCAGCCCGAGUGCUGGUCGUGAUUAUUGGGCCUAAAGCGCUCGUAGCCGGCCCGGCAAGUCCCCCGUGAAAUCGGACCGCCUAACGGUUCGGCUGGCGGGGGAAACUACCGGUCUUGGGGCCGGGAGACGUCCGGGGUACUCCGGGGGUAGCGGUGAAAUGCGUUGAUCCUCGGAGGACCACCCGUAGCGAAGGCGCCGGACGAGAACGGACCUGACGGUGAGGGGCGAAGGCUGGGGGAGCGAACGGGAUUAGAUACCCCGGUAGUCCCAGCAGUAAAGGAUGCGGGCCAGAUGUUGGGAGUCCCUCGAGGGCUCCCAGUGCCGGAGGGAAGCCGUUAAGCCCGCCGCCUGGGGAGUACGGCCGCAAGGCUGAAACUUAAAGGAAUUGGCGGGGGAGCACCACAAGGGGUGGGACCUGCGGUUCAAUUGGAUCUCACACGCCGGGA